rnacentral:rRNA from 1 species
UACGUAGGGUGCAAGCGUUAAUCGGAAUUACUGGGCGUAAAGCGUGCGCAGGCGGCUAUGCAAGAUAGAUGUGAAAUCCCCGGGCUCAACCUGGGAACUGCAUUUGUGACUGCAUGGCUAGAGUACGGCAGAGGGGGAUGGAAUUCCGCGUGUAGCAGUGAAAUGCGUAGAUAUGCGGAGGAACACCGAUGGCGAAGGCAAUCCCCUGGGCCUGUACUGACGCUCAUGCACGAAAGCGUGGGGAGCAAACAGG